UUGUGGAUCUAUUUAUCUAUCGAAUGCAAUUGCUUCCAUAUGGGUCUAUAUACAGAAUACACGUACACACAAGUGCUACAGAAAUGGAAAUGUUGUCUAAUAGCUGAAUAUUAUACUAAACAGAGUCAUGCCGUAUCAUAAUUUAUUUGAUGAAAUAUCUUUUGGAAGCAAAUGGACAUUAUAAACAAGGAAGAAGAAAACUUAAGAUUUGGUAACACAAAAGAGAUAAUAGAUAAUAAUGAACAAACUGGUGUUAAUGUUAACGCUGAUGAAUCUGAUUUAUGUGCCGAUACGGAUACUGAAGACAACAUUCAGACUGACAACAACACUUAUUUAGAACAGAGCAGAACUAGAUCAGUCGCAACACAAGAUGGUAUGUCAAAAUCCAGCGACUAUAGUAGGGAGCAUGACGGAAAAAAAUGCAUAACAAGAGGACGAAAAUGGAAUUUAAGUACAGCGCCGAUAGGAGUGACUGUUAUAAUUGUCAUAGGAUUUUCUUGUUAUUUUUUCAUACAAGAGUUCCAGGCCAGAGGUAAUCUCGAUAGUCAGUAACGUAGUUUAAUUAACUUGAGUCGAUUAUCAGAUUUAUAUUCUUUAGAGUAUAACAAAGUUUCAUAUGCCAUUUAUAAACAAGAUAAAGAGUCAAUAUAUUCCUGGAAAGUAGACGUGUGCGAAUCGGAACAUAUCCAGUAUAGUAACAGCAUUCGUACAUUUAAAAUCGACUAUCAUGGUAUUCUUAUGGGUCAAUUAAACAUGCAACCUGCAAAGAUUUCCUGUAUUAAAAUUCGUCAUAGUAAAAUUGCCAGUGAAUCCGACGAAUUUUGUCAGAAAAUGUCGGAGAAGUUGAGGAUCCCAGUGUCUCUAGUUUUUAUUUCUGCAGUAAGUGGAAAACAGACUAUUGAUAUUCCUCGCGAUAUAUUCAAACCAAAUGAAACUGAUAACGAUGCUAAUUAUUUAUCAUUAAUAACAUGGCCAGAAGGACCUGGAUAUGCACAGGAAAGAUUUAAACUGAAUAUAAAAGAAACAUUUAGUUCUGGGUAUUUGAAGGGAAGGCUUUCAUGGCGACUGGAUGGUAUUCAUGAAACUUUUCCUUGGACAUAUAAUAAAACAUCGCAUUCUUUUAUGAUACAUCGAGAUGGCAUUUAUUUAGUUUUACUUACACUUCAUUCUUACAUUUAUACCUCAAAUAUAAAAACUGUCAAAAUGCAAGCAUGUCUCAAUAAUACUUGUGCGCGACUGGAAUUAUUUGAAGAAAUGGCUGCCCCGCUUACUCUAAUUGACAUUAAUAGAUUACCAACUUCUCAUGAAUUUGACGUUAAGUUCUACAACAUACCCGGUUUUCUCUCAUAAACACAUUUACCAUCUUUAGUUUUCCAAUCCACACACCGUUUCAAAAAUAUUUACUGAAUGAACGACUUUAUUCUCGUACUUCUGAGUACAAACACCGAAGUCUACAAUGGAAAUCAACAAGAAAUGCAGAAUUUAAAAUAAUAAUUCUACUAGAUAAUAAUACCUUUAAAGUGCAAGAAAAGGGGAACUAUUUGAUCAUAUUAUCACUUAAUCUUUAUACAAGAAACAUGAGAAAGGAUGUAUUACAAUGUGAUGAAAAAUGUAGUCAUGCUUCACUAGUGGCAUGUAUACGAUUCUCAAAUGAGAUAUCUCGGUGUCAAAAUUAUACAUUACCCCUUGGAGUAGUCUUGCCUGUAAUGUUGACCCAUGUCAAACAUUUGUCUUCCGAAGAAAGUUUUCAUAUAACAUUGAAUCAAGCUGCCUUAUACAGAAGUGAAAAUCAUAAUUCUGUGAUAGUUGUUAAACUGUAAUAUAUGCUUAACGCAUACCUGUCUUUGUAUAGAAAAAUACCCAUUGAUUCAGAGGACGAUCAUGCAUAUUUUACCAAAACUUAAGAGACGUGCUGACGAUUGGAGAGUAUGCUUAUUUUAGUAUAUUGCCAUGAUGUAUACUUAUAUACUGAAACAAUAAAACAAAAAAUUAAAGA